UACGAAGGGGGCUAGCGUUGUUCGGAUUUACUGGGCGUAAAGCGCGUGUAGGCGGGUCGUUAAGUUGGAGGUGAAAUCCCGAGGCUCAACCUCGGAACUGCCUUCAAAACUGGCGACCUGGACUCAAGUAGAGGCAAGUUGAAUUGCGAGUGUAGAGGUGAAAUUCGUAGAUAUUCGCAGGAACACCAGUGGCGAAGGCGACUUGCUGGACUUGUAGUGACGCUGAGACGCGAAAGCGUGGGGAGCAAACAGG
rnacentral:rRNA from 1 species